rnacentral:rRNA from 1 species
GAUUAGUGGCGAACGGGUGAGUAACACGUGAGUAACCUGCCCUUGACUCUGGGAUAAGCCUGGGAAACUGGGUCUAAUACCGGAUACGACUAUCUGACGCAUGUCAUGGUGGUGGAAAGCUUUUGCGGUUUUGGAUGGACUCGCGGCCUAUCAGCUUGUUGGUGGGGUAAUGGCCUACCAAGGCGACGACGGGUAGCCGGCCUGAGAGGGUGACCGGCCACACUGGGACUGAGACACGGCCCAGACUCCUACGGGAGGCAGCAGUGGGGAAUAUUGCACAAUGGGCGAAAGCCUGAUGCAGCGACGCCGCGUGAGGGAUGACGGCCUUCGGGUUGUAAACCUCUUUCAGUAGGGAAGAAGCGAAAGUGACGGUACCUGCAGAAGAAGCGCCGGCUAACUACGUGCCAGCAGCCGCGGUAAUACGUAGGGCGCAAGCGUUAUCCGGAAUUAUUGGGCGUAAAGAGCUCGUAGGCGGUUUGUCGCGUCUGCUGUGAAAGACCGGGGCUCAACUCCGGUUCUGCAGUGGGUACGGGCAGACUAGAGUGCAGUAGGGGAGACUGGAAUUCCUGGUGUAGCGGUGAAAUGCGCAGAUAUCAGGAGGAACACCGAUGGCGAAGGCAGGUCUCUGGGCUGUAACUGACGCUGAGGAGCGAAAGCAUGGGGAGCGAACAGGAUUAGAUACCCUGGUAGUCCAUGCCGUAAACGUUGGGCACUAGGUGUGGGGGACAUUCCACGUUUUCCGCGCCGUAGCUAACGCAUUAAGUGCCCCGCCUGGGGAGUACGGCCGCAAGGCUAAAACUCAAAGGAAUUGACGGGGGCCCGCACAAGCGGCGGAGCAUGCGGAUUAAUUCGAUGCAACGCGAAGAACCUUACCAAGGCUUGACAUGAACCGGAAAGACCUGGAAACAGGUGCCCCGCUUGCGGUCGGUUUACAGGUGGUGCAUGGUUGUCGUCAGCUCGUGUCGUGAGAUGUUGGGUUAAGUCCCGCAACGAGCGCAACCCUCGUUCUAUGUUGCCAGCGCGUUAUGGCGGGGACUCAUAGGAGACUGCCGGGGUCAACUCGGAGGAAGGUGGGGACGACGUCAAAUCAUCAUGCCCCUUAUGUCUUGGGCUUCACGCAUGCUACAAUGGCCGGUACAAAGGGUUGCGAUACUGUGAGGUGGAGCUAAUCCCAAAAAGCCGGUCUCAGUUCGGAUUGGGGUCUGCAACUCGACCCCAUGAAGUCGGAGUCGCUAGUAAUCGCAGAUCAGCAACGCUGCGGUGAAUACGUUCCCGGGCCUUGUACACACCGCCCGUCAAGUCACGAAAGUUGGUAACA